AGCAGCCGCGGUAAUUCCAGCUCCAAUAGCGUAUAUUAAAGUUGUUGCAGUUAAAAAGCUCGUAGUUGAAUUUCGGGAUCAGCAAAGUUGGUCGUGCCACUGGUAUGUACUGGCUUUGCUGAUUCCUCCUUCUUGUAGAACCGUAAUGCCAUUAAUUUGGUGUUGCGGGGAAACAGGACUGUUACUUUGAAAAAAUUAGAGUGUUUAAAGCAGGCUAACGCUUGAAUACAUUAGCAUGGAAUAAUGAAAUAGGACGAGCGAUCCUAUUUUGUUGGUUUCUAGGAUUGACGUAAUGAUUAAUAGGGAUAGUUGGGGGCAUUAGUAUUCAAUUGUCAGAGGUGAAAUUCUUGGAUUUAUUGAAGACUAACUACUGCGAAAGCAUUUGCCAAGGAUGUUUUCAUUAAUCAAGAACGAAAGUUAGGGGAUCGAAGACGAUCAGAUACCGUCGUAGUCUUAACCAUAAACUAUGCCGACUAGGGAUCGGAUGAUGUUAUUUAUAAUGACUCAUUCGGCGCCUUACG
rnacentral:rRNA from 1 species